rnacentral:rRNA from 1 species
AGAGCGAACGCUGGCGGCAGGCUUAACACAUGCAAGUCGAGCGGGCGUAGCAAUACGUCAGCGGCAGACGGGUGAGUAACGCGUGGGAACGUACCUUUGGUUCGGAACAACACAGGGAAACUUGUGCUAAUACCGGAUAAGCCCUUACGGGGAAAGAUUUAUCGCCGAAAGAUCGGCCCGCGUCUGAUUAGCUAGUUGGUGAGGUAACGGCUCACCAAGGCGACGAUCAGUAGCUGGUCUGAGAGGAUGAUCAGCCACAUUGGGACUGAGACACGGCCCAAACUCCUACGGGAGGCAGCAGUGGGGAAUAUUGGACAAUGGGCGCAAGCCUGAUCCAGCCAUGCCGCGUGAGUGAUGAAGGCCCUAGGGUUGUAAAGCUCUUUUGUGCGGGAAGAUAAUGACGGUACCGCAAGAAUAAGCCCCGGCUAACUUCGCGCCAGCAGCCGC